rnacentral:rRNA from 1 species
GACAGAGGGGGCAAGCGUUGCUCGGAAUCACUGGGCGUAAAGGGCGCGUAGGCGGGAUGGCAAGUCAGUCGUGAAAUCUCUCGGCUCAACCGAGAAACGUCGGCUGAUACUGCCGUUCUUGAGGGUGCAGAGGAGACUGGAAUUCCCGGUGUAGCGGUGAAAUGUGUAGAGAUCGGGAGGAACACCGGUGGCGAAGGCGGGUCUCUGGGCAGUAACUGACGCUGAGGAGCGAAAGCGUGGGGAGCGAACAGG